rnacentral:rRNA from 1 species
AAAGAGACGCUCUCGCAGCCUACACAUGCAAGUCGAACGAUGCUUUCGGGCAUAGUGGCGGGUGAGUAACCAAUGGGAGUCUACCCUUUUCUGCGGAAUAACUAACGCAAACUUGUGCUAAUACCGUAUGUGUCCUUCGGGAGAAAGAUUUAUCGGGAAAGGGCGAGCCCGCGUUGGAUUAGCUAGUUGGUGGGGUAAAGGCCUACCAAGGCGACGAUCCAUAGCUGGUCUGAGAGGAUGAUCAGCCACAUUGGGACUGAGACACGGCCCAAACUCCUACGGGAGGCAGCAGUGGGGAAUAUUGGACAAUGGGCGCAAGCCUGAUCCAGCCAUGCCGCGUGAGUGAUGAAGGCCCUAGGGUUGUAAAGCUCUUUCACCGGAGAAGAUAAUGACGGUAUCCGGAGAAGAAGCCCCGGCUAACUUCGUGCCAGCAGCCGCGGUAAUACGAAGGGGGCUAGCGUUGUUCGGAAUUACUGGGCGUAAAGCGCACGUAGGCGGAUCGAUCAGUCAGGGGUGAAAUCCCAGGGCUCAACCCUGGAACUGCCUUUGAUACUGUCGAUCUGGAGUAUGGAAGAGGUGAGUGG